AGGGUGUAAACGCUGCAGACUUGGUGUUGGAAGCCCUUUGGGGGCAUUCAGUGCCGGAGAGAAGUUGUUAAGUCUGCUACUUGGGGAGUACGUCCGCAAGGAUGAAACCUAAAGGAAUUGGCGGGGGAGCACCGCAACGGGAGGAGCGUGCGGUUUAAUUGGAUUCAACACCGUAAAACUCACCAGGGAAGACUGUUACAUGAAGGCCGAGAUGAAGACUCUGCUAGAUUUUCAGAGAGGAGGUGCAUGGCGUCAGUGACU
rnacentral:rRNA from 1 species